GUUACAGGCAUCCAAGGAAGGGGCAAGUCUGCUGAAGGCUUACCAACAAUGGUGCUCUAGAUUCCUGCACUAGAUUCUUUCCAUCAAAGGAUGCUAUUAAGUCCUGCUUGUGUCUGUGACUUGCUAGGGGCGAGACUCGUGUUCUAAAUUAUUCUGAAGAUUCUUCCUCUCAGACUGCUCUGACAACCAACCUGAAGCAGCUUCCAGGACACUCUUGCUGAUUUACAACUGCAAUCUUGCUAAAAGGAAUGGAGAAAAGCCAGGAUGAAUUUCUGUUAGACAGAAUUACUGGCAUGACAUACUAACACCGCUAUAACCUAGCACAUGGCUGCCUGACUAUGUGGUUGCCCCGCCCCCUGCCUUGUUUCACUGAAAUAGGUCAUUUGUUGGAAAACCAGGGGAGCCUGUUUCUCAACCCCCAUCCAUAAAGGAGGAAGAGAGGCUGCUGACGGUGCCACUUAGUGUGUCUGACUGUGGCUCCCGAAAGCCAGUGCUGGGCCAGCAAGCCUUUUCUUCUUAAGUUCCCAUGUCUGUGGUUUGUCUUUGAUGAGUGUCUGUGCCUCCUGGGUGCAAAGCCCUUCUGUUUCCCUGCUUUUAUAGAAGGAAUAAAGAUGACUGGGCCGGAUGCAAGCCGUAAU